rfam:Desulfosporosinus meridiei DSM 13257, complete genome.
GGGGGCGUUUUAGACUCGCUCGGGGAAGCGGUGGCAAGAGUUGCGCGUCGAGAUUCCACCUGGUCUCGUUAAACGGUGGGCAAAAAUAGUUAACGAAAACAAUUACGCUCUAGCUGCCUAAGUGCCGCUAGCAUUCUGCCUUCAGAACCUACGAUGAAGGGUCAGAGUGUCACUUAAGUAGGACGCUCUAAUGUCAAUGCUCGGAGACAUUAGCUAAGAUCAUCGAGCUAGCCUGAACUGAAUCCUUGCCUUUAGGAGUCAAGACUGGCGAAAUUUAAAUUAAAGGACACACGCGUAGACGCUUUUGUGGUCGUUCUUCGAUACAGGGGUGCAAGUCCCCUCGCCUCCACCA